UACGAAGGGGACUAGCGUUGUUCGGAAUCACUGGGCGUAAAGCGCACGUAGGCGGAUUUGUAAGUCAGGGGUGAAAUCCCGGGGCUCAACCUCGGAACUGCCUUUGAUACUGCGAAUCUCGAGUCCGAUAGAGGUGGGUGGAAUUCCUAGUGUAGAGGUGAAAUUCGUAGAUAUUAGGAAGAACACCAGUGGCGAAGGCGGCUCACUGGCCCGGUACUGACGCUGAGGCGCGAAAGCCAGGGGAGCGAACGGG
rnacentral:rRNA from 1 species